UGUUGUGAAUUCCUGUUUACUGUUUGCUGUAUUUUUAGAUAUUGUUUGUUUAUAUUUGAGGCGCUGAGACUGAACCAAUGUCUUGCCUCACGGUUUUAUUUUGGUCAUCUGCACGUCAUCUGACGCCACAGUGUGGGGAAGACAGACAGACGGAUAAGAGAUAGGCAAACAGAUAGGAGAAAUCAUACAAGGCAACAAACAAGUUACCCCACAUUUUUACACUAUAUAAACUGUGAAUGGCAAUCAACUGUGGCUGAGACACUAUCUGGUGUGGAGUGCUCUCUCUCUCUCUACUGGAAGCAUGUCCAGCAUGUCCAACAUCAAAACAACCAUUGCACCUGUCUUGACCUUUGAAGUUCGUAGGAAGGUCAUAAAUCACAUCUAACGAAGAACAAAUCUGUGAACUUUCCUCUCACUGACCUACAGUAAGUGUCAAUUUCAGAGAGUGUGAAAGUGUCCAUUUCAGAAGACCAUUUCAGCAGGCGCACUGCUCCUGUGGUUUGGGAUUGACAGACAGUAUUGGGACACUGUGUGCUCAGGUUUGGGAUUGACAGACAGUAUUGGGACACUGUGUGCUCAGGUUUGGGAUUGACAGACAGUAUUGGGACACUGUGUGCUCAGGUUUGGGAUUGACAGACAGUAUUGGGACACUGCGUCCUCAGGUUUGGGAUUGACAGACAGUAUUGGGACACUGUGUGCUCAGGUUUGGGAUUGACAGACCGUAUUGGGACACUGCGUCCUCAGGUUUGGGAUUGACAGACAGUAUUGGGACACUGCGUCCUCAGGUUUGGGAUUGACAGACAGUAUUGGGACACUGUAGGAAUGGGGCCUGAGACAGGGUGUGUGUGUGUGUGUGUGGUGAGGAGGAAGCUAAGGGAAGUUAAAUAGGUGGGUCACAUUUCACACAGAGAUUGGGGCUCCCGAGUGGCAUAGCGGUCUAAGGCACUGCAUCUCAGUGCUAGAGGCGUCACUACAGACCCUGGUUUGAUUCCAGGCUGUAUCACAACCGGCCAUGAUUGGGAGUCCCAUAGGUUGGCGCACAAAUUGGCCCAGCGUCGUCCGGGUUUUGCCAGGGUAGGCCAUCAUAGUAAAUAAGAAUUAGUUCUUAACUGACUUGCCUAGUUAAAUAAAGGUUAAAUAAAAAAAUGUUUAAAAAAUUAAAUUAUCGAGAACGCUGUGGAGAACGCAUGCAUGCAUCACCCUGGGCAACCAUUCCUCACUCCAGCAGCUGAGCUGAGGGGCAACACACACAUUGAGAGGAUGAUGUAUUUUGCAUCUACCAUACAUCUGAGUCAGGGAGAUAAGAGAUAGAGAGAGGAAGAGAGCAGGGUAAUUGCCUCCUGCAAGGGCAGAAGGGGAUUCGCUGUUAGCUGAGUUAGCAGUGUGUCAGGGGAGGGGAAUUACAAUGUGAUAGAACCUACUAGACAGGCUUCUAGAAUCAAUCAUUAUAUUGAAGACAUUGUCACGAUCUAUUAUUUAUCUUCACACAGGAAAUGAUAUCACCUUCUCUUUUCUUUAUCAUCAUAGCUGUUGUUAUUAACUCUUUAAUAGGGUGAAAAUAAUUCAGUAUUUAGCAGGGAAGUUCAGAGAACUACAGAUGAAUCAGCAUGCUAUGAUUGAAUGCGAAAAUGAGAGGUAGACUGUCAGGAAAAGAGAGAACGUCCUGGUUAGAGGGCAGGAUAUGGGUAACCGCAUAAGAGUGCAGGCUAUUAACCACAGUGAGGCACUAAUCUGUCCUUAUGACAAGUAUAACCCCAGAACCGGAGUGGUGAGCACUUUCUUUCUCUUCACCAUCUUGCUCUCUGUGUGUUCCUCCCUCUCUCCCUCUCUCCCUCUCUCUUUCUUCAGAGUUCCUGUGUUACACUAUGUUGGCAUCAGAAUGGGCAGUCAGUGCCAGCACUUGGUCUCCAAGCAACCAGACACCUCCAGCUUUAUCUGUAGCAGAGGCUGACCUUAAAUAAAUAUAUGACCUGUCAGCCACCCAGGCCCAGGACUGUAUUUUUACACUGCCAGUACCGCAAAAAACACGGUAACACACACGUACUGGCAGAAACAUUACACAGUAAACUCACACACAAUCAUGCACACCACAUGCACACAGACCAACAAAUAUCCACAUAUUAUAAUAUACUGCAUAUCCAAACCCAGUUUACACAAGGCAAGUCAACAGGAAAGUGUGAAGAAUUCUAUUAAAUUGUUUCCCCUGUGGCUCUCAGAACCCAGCGGUGCUCUGGCUGUAGACUGUUGUUUGUCUCCUUUGGGUUACAGUCAGCUACAGUGGCUGAAAUACACACUAUAUUUUACAGCUGCGUGCUCAUACUAUACUCUGUUUUAUUAUACGAGGUGUUAUUAAAUUCUGUUCUGCUCAGCUCUAUUCUAUCAGAAAAUAGAACCAUGAGGAUCU